rnacentral:tRNA from 1 species
GGAGUUGUGGCUCAGUGGUAAGAGCACUUGCCUAGCAUGUGUGAGGCUCUGGGUUCUAUUCUCAGCACCA